GAGUUGCAGAGUGCAUUAUCUUCUAGUAAAAACUUCACCAGCAAAUCAUCCGAUUGACUUUCAAACCUAGAAAGAAGCAGCACAAUUAAAUGAUAUCUAAUAUUACUAUAGAAUCUACUGUUAAGUACAUAAAUAAAUAAAAUAAAAUAUACCAUGUAAGCAGUCUCAUAUAUUAUGCUACCUUUACAAAUUUGGCUCCAUGCACCCACACUUUGCUUUGGUUUUUUAGCUCUUUUAGGCCUAGGGAGGGAUAUGCCAUAGAGGUUAUUCAACAGGUGCAGCUUCUCCAUUCAUUCAAUAGUGAUGCAUCUGAUUAAUUGCUGCCUGGUGUGUUGUGACCUUAUUUAUAAAACAUGGAGGGCAUACGCAUGAGCAGCCCUACCUGGGCUGGUGCAGCCCUAUAGGGGAAGGGCGGCUGCUUGUGUGAAGUUCUGGAACUGGGCCCAAUCCUGGCUGUUUUUGCUCUGGGACUGGGCCCAAUCCUUUUUCUACCAAGGCUUACUGAGGUAGAAGGGUGCGAGCCGUCUGCAGCCUGGGUGUUCAUAGAGCUAGGUGGCUAGAGCGUCCAGUAGCAGGGAAAUCCCCCAAUCCACUGUGCUCCUCACGCGGUGCACUGAGGGAUGCGGGAGGUCUCACCCCACCCCCCGCCUGCCCCUUCGCUGCUCCUGAAGCCAUUGUGCCCCGGUCGUGUGGGCACGUGGUGCUGGGGAGCCUGGGAGUGGCACUGGUUGUGUGGGGGAAGGCAAGAAGGCUCUUCCCUCCAACCCUCCCCAAGCCAGGCGGAGGGCCAAGAAAGCUCAUGGGCUGGCAUCAGUCUGAAGGGGAGAUGGGAGAAAAUCCACUGGAGGAGUGACAGAUGAAGCUGUUGUGCCGGUUGAAUUUCUGCCUUGAGGUUUAUUAUAGCAGCAAAUAAUAUGUGGAGGGGAGUGAGGUCAAGAAAAUGAUGCAAAGGGGGAAAUCCCUACUUCUGUGCUGCUUCCCUGAUCCUACAACCUCCUACAACCGUAUUUGGUUUUGUUCAUAAAAAUUACAGAUCGGGAUAUUGA